GAUGAACGCUAGCGGCAGGCUUAACACAUGCAAGUCGAGGGGUAGAAGUCUUCGGACUUUGAGACCGGCGCACGGGUGCGUAACGCGUAUGCAAUCUACCUUUUACAGAGGGAUAGCCCAGAGAAAUUUGGAUUAAUACCUCAUAGUAUAAUGACCUGGCAUCAGGAUGUUAUUAAAGUCACAACGGUAAAAGAUGAGCA
rnacentral:rRNA from 1 species